rnacentral:rRNA from 1 species
UACGUAGGGUGCAAGCGUUGUCCGGAAUUAUUGGGCGUAAAGAGCUCGUAGGCGGUUUGUUGCGUCGGCUGUGAAAUCCCCGAGGCUCAACCUCGGGUCUGCAGUCGAUACGAGCAAACUAGAGUGUUGCAGGGGAGACUGGAAUUCCUGGUGUAGCGGUGAAAUGCGCAGAUAUCAGGAGGAACACCGGUGGCGAAGGCGGGGUCUCUGGGCAACAACUGACGCUGGAGGAGCGAAAGCGUGGGGAGCGAACAGG